rnacentral:rRNA from 1 species
GAUGAACGCUAGCUACAGGCUUAACACAUGCAAGUCGAGGGGAAACGACAUCGAAAGCUUGCUUUUGAUGGGCGUCGACCGGCGCACGGGUGAGUAACGCGUAUCCAACCUGCCCACCACUUGGGGAUAACCUUGCGAAAGUAAGACUAAUACCCAAUGAUAUCUCUAGAAGACAUCUGAAAGAGAUUAAAGAUUCAUCGGUGAUGGAUGGGGAUGCGUCUGAUUAGCUUGUUGGCGGGGUAACGGCCCACCAAGGCGACGAUCAGUAGGGGUUCUGAGAGGAAGGUCCCCCACAUUGGAACUGAGACACGGUCCAAACUCCUACGGGAGGCAGCAGUGAGGAAUAUUGGUCAAUGGGCGAGAGCCUGAACCAGCCAAGUAGCGUGCAGGACGACGGCCCUAUGGGUUGUAAACUGCUUUUAUAAGGGAAUAAAGUGAGUCUCGUGAGACUUUUUGCAUGUACCUUAUGAAUAAGGACCGGCUAAUUCCGUGCCAGCAGCCGACGG